GACGAACGCUGGCGGCGUGCUUAACACAUGCAAGUCGAGCGGAAAGGCCCUUUCGGGGGUACUCGAGCGGCGAACGGGUGAGUAACACGUGAGUAAUCUGCCCCUGGCUUUGGGAUAGCCACCGGAAACGGUGAUUAAUACCGGAUACGACCACUUCUCGCAUGGGAUGGUGGUGGAAAGUCUUUCGGCCAGGGAUGUGCUCGCGGCCUAUCAGCUUGAUGGUGAGGUAAUGGCUCACCAUGGCUUCGACGGGUGGCCGGCCUGAGGGGGUGGCCGGUCGCACUGGGACUGAGGCACGGCCCUGACUGCUACGGGGGGCAGCAGUGGGGAAGAUUGGACAAUGGGCGGAAGCCUGGUCCGGCAACGCCGCGUGAGGGAUGACGGCCUGCGGGUUGUAAACCUCUUUCAGCAGGGACGAGGCGCAAGUGACGGUACCUGCAGGAGAAGCACCGGCCAACUACGUGCCAGCAGCCGCCGCGG
rnacentral:rRNA from 1 species